rnacentral:rRNA from 1 species
GUGGGGAAUAUUGGGCAAUGGGGGAAACCCUGACCCAGCGACGCCGCGUGAGGGAAGACGGCCUUCGGGUUGUAAACCUCUUUUGUACGGGAAGAAGGAAGUGACGGUACUGUACGAAUAAGUCCCGGCUAACUACGUGCCAGCAGCCGCGGUAAUACGUAGGGGACGAGCGUUGUCCGGAAUUACUGGGCGUAAAGGGCGCGCAGGAUGUGCUGCAAGUCAGCUGUGAAAUGUCUGGGCUUAACCCGGGCAUGCGGUUGAGACUGCAGUGCUGGAGUGCUGUAGAGGCAAGUGGAAUUCCCAGUGUAGCGGUGAAAUGCGUAGAUAUUGGGAAGAACACCGGUGGCGAAGGCGACUUGCUGGGCAGCAACUGACGCUGAGGCGCGAAAGCCAGGGGAGCAAACGGGAUUAGAAACCCUUGUAGUCC